GCGAGCGUAGCUCAGUGGUAGAGCAUCGCCUUCACACGGCGGGGGUCGGGGGUUCGAAACCCUCCGCUCGCACCA
rnacentral:tRNA from 1 species